CAUUGGUGAUGACAAACUUGAAGGCUUGUUUCUCAAAACAUUCGCAGUGGCUGCCUGAGAGCUUUUGCCUUCGCCGGGCUUGAGAGCUAGUGCUGCUUUAAUCCUUCCUUGGAUGUCUGAGACC
rfam:Eucalyptus grandis cultivar BRASTZ1 unplaced genomic scaffold scaffold_8, whole genome shotgun sequence.